rnacentral:tRNA from 1 species
GUAUUGGUGUAGUGGUAUCAUGCAAGAUUUCCAUUCUUGCGACCCGGGUUCGAUUCCCGGGAAAUGCA